rnacentral:rRNA from 1 species
UACGUAGGGGGCGAGCGUUGUUCGGAUUUACUGGGCGUAAAGCGCGCGUAGGCGGCCUGAUAAGUCGGAUGUGAAACCCCUCGGCUUAACCGAGGAUCCGCACCCGAAACUGCCAGGCUUGAGUCUAGGAGAGGAGAGCGGAAUUCCCAGUGUAGCGGUGAAAUGCGUAGAUAUUGGGAGGAACACCAGUGGCGAAGGCGGCUCUCUGGACUAGUACUGACGCUGAGGCGCGAAAGCUAGGGGAGCGAACGGG